rnacentral:rRNA from 1 species
UGGGGAGUACGGCCGCAAGGCUAAAACUCAAAGGAAUUGACGGGGACCCGCACAAGCGUGGAUGAUGUGGAUUAAUUCGAUGCAACGCGAAAAACCUUACCUACCCUUGACAUGUCAGGAAUCCUGGAGAGAUCUGGGAGUGCUCGCAAGAGAACCUGAACACAGGUGCUGCAUGGCUGUCGUCAGCUCGUGUCGUGAGAUGUUGGGUUAAGUCCCCGCAACGAGCGCAACCCUUGUCAUUAAUUGCCAUCAUUCAGUUGGGCACUUUAAUGAGACUGCCGGUGACAAACCGGAGGAAGGUGGGGAUGACGUCAAGUCCUCAUGGCCCUUAUGGGUAGGGCUUCACACGUCAUACAAUGGUCGGUUCAGAGGGUUGCCAACCCGCGAGGGGGAGCCAAUCUCAGAAAGCCGAUCGUAGUCCGGAUCGCAGUCUGCAACUCGACUGCGUGAAGUCGGAAUCGCUAGUAAUCGCGGAUCAGCAUGUCGCGGUGAAUACGUUCCCGGGC